CCUACGGGUGGCAGCAGUGGGGGAUAUUGCACAAUGGGGGGAACCCUGAUGCAGCGACGCCGCGUGGGUGAAGAAGCGCCUCGGCGCGUAAAGCCCUGUCAGCAGGGAAGAAAAUGACGGUACCUGAAGAAGAAGCCCCGGCUAACUACGUGCCAGCAGCCGCGGUAAUACGUAGGGGGCAAGCGUUAUCCGGAUUUACUGGGUGUAAAGGGGGCGCAGACGGCGAUGCAAGCCAGGAGUGAAAGCCCGGGGGCCAACCCCGGGACUGCUCUUGGAACUGCGUGGCUGGAGUGCAGGAGGGGAAGGCGGAAUUCCUGGUGUAGCGGUGAAAUGCGUAGAUAUCAGGAGGAACACCGGUGGCGAAGGCGGCCUGCUGGACUGCAACUGACGUUGAGGCCCGAAAGCGUGGGGAGCAAACAGGAUUAGAUACCCGUGUAGUC
rnacentral:rRNA from 1 species